rnacentral:rRNA from 1 species
UACGGAGGGUGCAAGCGUUAAUCGGAAUUACUGGGCGUAAAGCGCACGUAGGUGGUUGACUAAGUCAGCUGUGAAAUCCCCGGGCUUAACCUGGGAACUGCAUUUGUGACUGCAUGGCUGGAGUGCGGCAGAGGGGGAUGGAAUUCCGCGUGUAGCAGUGAAAUGCGUAGAUAUGCGGAGGAACACCGAUGGCGAAGGCAAUCCCCUGGGCCUGCACUGACGCUCAUGCACGAAAGCGUGGGGAGCAAACAGG